UACGUAGGUGGCGAGCGUUGUCCGGAUUUAUUGGGCGUAAAGCGCCCGCAGGCGGCCUGAUAAGUUUCAGGUGAAAUCUCCCGGCUUAACUGGGAGGGGUCCUGGAAAACUGUCAGGCUUGAGGCAGGGAGAGGGAUGUGGAAUUCCCGGUGUAGUGGUGAAAUGCGUAGAUAUCGGGAGGAACACCAGUGGCGAAGGCGGCAUCCUGGCCCUGUCCUGACGCUCAGGGGCGAAAGCGUGGGGAGCAAACCGG
rnacentral:rRNA from 1 species